UGCAUCUGAAGCCUGACGAGGAUGAGAACCUCCGGGGGCAAGAGGUUCGACUCGAGCGCAGCGAGAGAACGUUGCGUCAGCAACGGCCCGCAGGGCGA
rnacentral:sRNA from 3 species